AUCCAACUGACGAGUCCCAAAUUGGACGGAAUGCGCGUCCUGGAU
rfam:Schistosoma curassoni strain Dakar, Senegal genome assembly, scaffold: SCTD_scaffold0014161